AUUUAUAUAGUUUAAUAAAAACAUUACAUUUUCAUUGUGAAAAUAAAAAAUUAUUUUUUAUAAAUA
rnacentral:tRNA from 1 species